AUUGAACGCUGGCGGCAUGCUUUACACAUGCAAGUCGAACGGUAACAGGCCGCAAGGUGCUGACGAGUGGCGAACGGGUGAGUAAUGCAUCGGAACGUGCCCAGUCGUGGGGGAUAAUGCAGCGAAAGUUGCGCUAAUACCGCAUACGAUCUAUGGAUGAAAGCGGGGGACCGUAAGGCCUCGCGCGAUUGGAGCGGCCGAUGUCAGAUUAGGUCGUUGGUGGGGUAAAGGCUCACCAAGCGGACGAUCUGUAGCUGGUCUGAGAGGACGACCGGCCAAACUGGGACUGAGACACGGCCCAGACUCCUACGGGAGGCAGCAGUGGGGAAUUUUGGACAAUGUGCGCAAGCCUGAUCCAGCAAUGCCGCGUGCAGGAAGAAGGCCUUCGGGUUGUAAACUGCUUUUGUACGGAACGAAACGGUCCUGGUUAAUACCCGGGGCUAAUGACGGUACCGUAAGAAUAAGCACCGGCUAACUACGUGCCAGCCGCCGCCGUAAGAC
rnacentral:rRNA from 1 species